rnacentral:lncRNA from 1 species
ACCAAUCAUUCAGCAAAGCAUACAAGCCACACACACACAGAGUCAAGCCACGCACAAUCACACACACAGUCAUUGCCAAAAUGCAAUAUUCACAGUCACACACAUCACAGUCAAAUGCACAAUAUUCACACAGUCACACACAGUCACACAUCACAGUCAAAUGCAAUAUUUGCACACAGUCACACGCACACACACACAUACACACACAGGCAAACACACAGUCCCACACACAGACAGUCAAGCCACACACACAAGAGAGUCAAGCCACAAACAGUCAGACAGACACAGAAUGGAGCACUUGCACACAAGAAACAAACAUAGAUAGGGGCACAAACAGAAAGCAACAAGAAACACCGAAGUAAACUCAGAAAGCUAUAAAGAAAUUCCAAAACCUGAAUGACUAAACGAUUUCUCUCGAGGGGUGAGGGUGAUUCAGAUCUUCGUUCCUGAAAACAGGAAGCUGGUUAGAGGCUGAUUAAGUGAUUAUCUUCAUCACUACCCACAAGUUUGUAGGCCUAUGGACAAAAAAGAAAUGUUAAAUGCGUUCUUAUUCUACUUACUAGAGAAAGCAAGGCGUGUAACAUGAGCAACAUUCUUAUAGAAAUUUUGGCUAAGGUAAGCCAUUCCUACCUACAAUAUAUAUGUUUCAAGUUGGCAACUGUGGUUGCCUCUCAUGAGUUACAAGCCGAUGGAUAGCCUGAAAAAUGACAUGAGCAACUUAAAAUGUGAGUUUCCACAAUGUAAAUGAUGUUUCUAUUAUUCUUGAAGCAAGAAGAGUAGCUUACGUUACCAGCAGCACCAGCAGUCAUAU